CCGGACCGGCGCACGGGUGAGUAACGCGUAUGCAACUUACCUAUCAGAGGGGGAUAACCCGGCGAAAGUCGGACUAAUACCGCAUGAAGCAGGGGCCCCGCAUGGGGAUAUUUGCUAAAGAUCCAUCGCUGAUAGAUAGGCAUGCGUUCCAUUAGGCAGUUGGCGGGGUAACGGCCCACCAAACCGACGAUGGAUAGGGGUUCUGAGAGGAAGGUCCCCCACAUUGGUACUGAGACACGGACCAA
rnacentral:rRNA from 1 species